rnacentral:rRNA from 1 species
CUUCCGUAGGUGAACCUGCGGAAGGAUCAUUACCGAGUGAGGGCCCUCUGGGUCCAACCUCCCACCCGUGUUUAUCGUACCUUGUUGCUUCGGCGGGCCCGCCGAUCAGGCCGCCGGGGGGCAUCCGCCCCCGGGCCCGCGCCCGCCGAAGACACCAUUGAACGCUGUCUGAAGAUUGCAGUCUGAGCGAUUAGCUAAAUCAGUUAAAACUUUCAACAACGGAUCUCUUGGUUCCGGCAUCGAUGAAGAACGCAGCGAAAUGCGAUAAGUAAUGUGAAUUGCAGAAUUCAGUGAAUCAUCGAGUCUUUGAACGCACAUUGCGCCCCCUGGUAUUCCGGGGGGCAUGCCUGUCCGAGCGUCAUUGCUGCCCUCAAGCACGGCUUGUGUGUUGGGCCCCGCCCCCUGGCUACCAGGGGGCGGACCCGAAAGGCAGCGGCGGCACCGCGUCCGGUCCUCGAGCGUAUGGGGCUUCGUCACCCGCUCUGUAGGCCCGGCCGGCGCCCGCCGGCGACCCCCCUCAAUCUUUCUCAGGUUGACCUCGGAUCAGGUAGGGAUACCCGCUGAACUUAAGCAUAUCAAUAAGC